rnacentral:rRNA from 1 species
UAACACAUGCAAGUCGAACGGUAACAUUUCUAGCUUGCUAGAAGAUGACGAGUGGCGGACGGGUGAGUAAUGCUUGGGAACUUGCCUUUGCGAGGGGGAUAACAGUUGGAAACGACUGCUAAUACCGCAUAAUGUCUACGGACCAAACGGGGCUUAGGCUCCGGCGCAAAGAGAGGCCCAAGUGAGAUUAGCUAGUUGGUAAGGUAAUGGCUUACCAAGGCAACGAUCUCUAGCUGUUCUGAGAGGAAGAUCAGCCACACUGGAACUGAGACACGGUCCAGACUCCUACGGGAGGCAGCAGUGGGGAAUAUUGCACAAUGGGGGAAACCCUGAUGCAGCCAUGCCGCGUGUGUGAAGAAGGCCUUCGGGUUGUAAAGCACUUUCAGUUGUGAGGAAAAGUUAGUAGUUAAUACCUGCUAGCCGUGACGUUAACAACAGAAGAAGCACCGGCUAACUCCGUGCCAGCAGCCGCGGUAAUACGGAGGGUGCGAGCGUUAAUCGGAAUUACUGGGCGUAAAGCGCACGCAGGCGGUUUGUUAAGCUAGAUGUGAAAGCCCCGGGCUCAACCUGGGAUAGUCAUUUAGAACUGGCAGACUAGAGUCUUGGAGAGGGGAGUGGAAUUCCAGGUGUAGCGGUGAAAUGCGUAGAUAUCUGGAGGAACAUCAGUGGCGAAGGCGACUCCCUGGCCAAAGACUGACGCUCAUGUGCGAAAGUGUGGGUAGCGAACAGGAUUAGAUACCCUGGUAGUCCACACCGUAAACGCUGUCUACUAGCUGUUUGUGACUUUAAGUCGUGAGUAGCGAAGCUAACGCGCUAAGUAGACCGCCUGGGGAGUACGGCCGCAAGGUUAAAACUCAAAUGAAUUGACGGGGGCCCGCACAAGCGGUGGAGC